UUUUAGCUCUUCAAUAUACAUAUGGAGGCCAAGAAAACUACUCUCCAAGAACCAAAACCCCCACUGAAUCUCACCAUGCUUCUAAGAAAGAUGGGGGAGAGGAUGACCCUAAUGGAAACAAUGCUAACAGCGCUUCAAGAGGAAAUUGGUGGCAGGGCUCGCUCUAUUACUAAUACCUUGCCCUC